rnacentral:rRNA from 1 species
UACGAAGGGGGCGAGCGUUGUUCGGAUUUACUGGGCGUAAAGGGCGCGCAGGCGGCCGGCCAAGUCAGGCGUGAAAGCCCCGGGCUUAACCUGGGAAUUGCGUCUGGGACUGGUUGGCUAGAGAUCGGGAGAGGAGAGUGGAAUUCCCAGUGUAGAGGUGAAAUUCGUAGAUAUUGGGAAGAACACCAGUGGCGAAGGCGGCUCACUGGCCCGAUACUGACGCUGAGGCACGAAAGCGUGGGGAGCAAACAAG